AAGUCCCAGAAUGCAUUGCGUGCCGUCACUCACAAAGCUGUCUCAUGUUCCUCUACUGAUUAAGGUAUUUUCUUUCAAGGCCGGAAACCAGGAUACUACAAUUCCCAGAAUGCACCUCGUCCGUUGGGGCCGCCGUCAAGAAGCUGACCCAUGUUCCUCCACAGUUUCACUCCUAAACGUUCGUCUCAACAUCUACGAAAAUGUGGACCUUAUCAUCACUACUAUAUGAUUCCAAUCAACGCAAGUCAUCAGAAUCAGUGUGACUUUGGAUGACUGGCAAGGUGUUUGAUCUGCCGCCUGUUUGCAUGAAUCGUGCCGGAGGGAAAGCUUGUCCUUUGGGGAAGGAAAGAGUCUUCAUCUUCAUCUUCAGAUGCGUCCAACGCCAACACACAGGCCGCCCAGCAUCAGCAGCACGGUGCUGAGGAUGGGGAAGAGGCUGGACGCUCGCACAAUACCUGCCCACAGGACAUGGAAAGAGACUUUUGUUCCCCUCGUCAACACAAGCUGUAUUAUUUGAAGGCUGAGUCACGGCGACGACGACAUCUGCUCGUACUCGGGACACUUGAGGAGGGCGGGGUAGUUGGACGAGUUCAUCUGGAGGGACGCCUCGGAGGAGAUGGAGGAGGGGCUGCGGCCACGCCCGGCCCAGGCGUCCGGGUGGAGGAACUGGCCCGAGUAGUCGGAGCAGUUGCUGAGUCGAGGCCGGUAGAAGCCUUGGUGGGGCCGAUACAUUUCCUCCGCCGUGUAGCGCUUCAUGAACAGGUACACCGACAUCACGCCCGCCGUCUGGAAUAGUAGUCGGAAUGUUAGCAAAGGCAGCUGAGCAGAAAGUGAAAUACAACAAUAUGUGUUUAUAACAGAAUUAAUACAAUUAGAACGUGCACAGAGUUUAACCAAUUUUACCGAUGCACGGUUUUUCAAACACUGCUAUCUGGUGUGGAGGACCCUUAGGGGUGAUGGACGGCUGACUACAGUAGCUCCCACCCCCUCACCUCUGUUGCAAGUUUUGUGUAUUCUAUGUAACUUGUUUAUGCGUGCUAUGGCUAUGAGGUUUUUCUCCCUUGGCCUCAGUCUGGACCCCCUCCCUGGAGUCCAGCCUUUGACUAAAUAUUUUUUUACCCCCUUUUUCCUCACCUUUUCUUUUGUAAUGGGCGCCGUCAGCGAUCUUUUUUCUGUCUCCCUGUAAUGUUUGUCUGAUCAUGAAAUAGAUUGUGUUGACAAUCUCAUUUUCUCCUCGGGGAUUAAUAAUGUACUUCUGAGUCUGGUUGUUGUUCAGCAGGUUGUCCACUAGGGUGCACUGUGAUUACAUUACUCUCUAGAGGAGACAAAUAACCAACAAUCUGAUGGCAAAAAUAAAAUAGAAAGAUUAUCUAAAUUACUUUUUAUAAAUAUACAUAGUACUAUUGCUUUGUUCUUUUUCGAUUUUAGACACAUUUAAAUAACAUGACUGGUCUAGCAAAAACAUCAUAUACUGUGUUUAAAAAAUACAUAAAAUCAAAAUAAUAUUACUAAAUAAAGUAAGAAACCACAGACAGCUGCAUUCCUAAAUUGUCUUUGAUAGACAUACUGAUCCACAAGUCCACAAAAGGCUCAUCAACCACCCAUAUUUAAAUUGUGAUUCAAUCUGGGUUAAUUUGGAGAUAUGUUUUUUCUACGUAUCUCGGAAAGACACACCACAGUUCUUGCAGAAACAAGCAUUCCAUGUCCACCUAAUCUUCUCCAGUGUGAGGAAAUACAGAACAUUAAUCCAGCAAGUGUGGCAAGGAGGUCAUUAUAAUGUAUAUUAUAAUUAUAAUUAUAAUUUUCCUGAGGGAACUUUCCAGAAGGAAUCAAUAAAGUACUAUCCAUCUAUCUGUCUAUCUAAAGCAGGGGUGUCCAAAGUGCGGCCUGGGGGCCAUUUGCGGCCCGCAGCUAAUCGUUUACCGGCCCGCCACACAUUCUGCAAAAAUUGCAAAAUUGAUAGUAUUGCAAAGAUUAAAAAAAACAUUUAGAAAAAGUGGGAUAAGGUGAAAUCUAAUUUAAAAAAGUGGCAAUGUUGACACAAAGCUGCCAUGCAGGCAUUUUUUUCCCCCAUUUUGUCUAUAAUUUUUUUUUUCCAUUGUUCCAAAAAAAAAAAGAACAAAAUAAUCUGUUGUAAUGAAUAACUACUUAAAAAUUAUCACUAUAAAUGUUUUAUGUGGGAAAAAUAUUGCAUAUGUUGUGUGGUUGCCAUAUAAAAACAUCAAAGUUUUGGCAAAAGAGCAUAAAACAAACAAAAUAAUAGUUCAAACUUAAAAUUGACAGAUAUAUCGGAAUUUGAUCUUGAAAUUUAAGUGUUAAAAGUUAAAAAAAAAACUAAUACAAAUGCAUCACUUUAUGAGUG